rnacentral:rRNA from 1 species
AAGCGCUCAUGACCAGACUUGGGCUGGCUCGAUCAUCCGGCGUUCUCGCCGGUGCACUCGGGCCGCUCAGGCCAGCAUCAGCUUUCGCCGGGGGACAAAGGCGGCGGGAAUGUGGCUCCCUCGGGAGUGUUAUAGCCCGCCGUGUAAUACCCUGGUGAGGGCUGAGGUUCGCGCGUAAUGCACGGAUGCUGGCGUAAUGGUCAUCAGCGA